rnacentral:rRNA from 1 species
CCAGACUCCUACGGGAGGCAGCAGUGAGGAAUAUUGGUCAAUGGGCGCAAGCCUGAACCAGCCAAGUCGCGUGAGGGAAGACGGCCCUACGGGUUGUAAACCCCUUUUGCCGGGGAGCAGGCCUGAGCACGUGUGCCCAGGCGGAGAGUACCCGGAGAAAAAGCAUCGGCUAACUCCGUGCCAGCAGCCGCGGUAAUACGGGGGAUGCAAGCGUUGUCCGGAAUCAUUGGGCGUAAAGAGUUCGUAGGUGGCACGUUAAGUCUGGUGUUAAAUGCAGAGGCUCAACCUCUGUUCGGCACUGGAUACUGGCGAGCUUGAAUGCGGUAGAGGUAAAGGGAAUUCCUGGUGUAGCGGUGAAAUGCGUAGAUAUCAGGAGGAACAUCGGUGGCGUAAGCGCUUUACUGGGCCGUAAUUGACACUGAGGAACGAAAGCCAGGGUAGCAAAUGGGAUUAGAUACCCCAGUA